UACGUAGGUGGCAAGCGUUGUCCGGAUUUACUGGGCGUAAAGAGCGCGCAGGCGGUCGUUCAAGUCGCGUGUGAAAGCCCCCGGCUCAACUAGGGAGGGUCACGCGAUACUGAUCGACUCGAAGGCAGGAGAGGGUAGUGGAAUUCCCGGUGUAGUGGUGAAAUGCGUAGAUAUCGGGAGGAACACCAGUGGCGAAGGCGACUACCUGGCCUGUUCUUGACGCUGAGGCGCGAAAGCUAGGGGAGCAAACGGG
rnacentral:rRNA from 1 species